rnacentral:lncRNA from 1 species
AAGUGAAUAUACAAUAGUUGUACCAAGUUUGAGGGAGAAUUACAACAGAAACACCAUUCUGCAACCCAAAAAUUUCAAAUCAAAUUAAUCAAUGCUGAUUCACAAAUAAAAAAAGCUUCAUGAUACUAUGAGCUGGAAACAAAAAUGAAAAUGCAAGAUCAUAAAAUGAAACACUGUUUAUAAUCUUCAGUAACCAUGAAAACUACCCAAUUAUCCAAAUGUAGAAACCACCAUUUCCACCAUGAAAUCAUCAAACAAAUUAACAGAUAGUUCUAAAAAAGAGUCCGUUACGUAAGGUUUUAACACCAUAGACAAAAUAAAUAAAAAACCAUCUCCACAUCAAGGGCAUAAUGCGAAAUUGCAGAAUAGAAGCUUGAAAAGGGGACUAAACGACAAGAAAAUUCUCCAACAUACCUUCUGAGAUUUGUGAAAUAAAAGAAAGCCCGUAUGAUCGUUAAAUCAAAAUCAUAGCCGACAAAAACCCAUCAGACUGCUGGAUUGAAGAGAGAAAAUCAAUGGAGAAAAUACAGGAAUAGCAAGGCAAACUCGAGAACCAAACGAUUACGACACAAUGAAAAAGGCUGUCCCUUGACGAGGCAGAUCUGGGAAAAGAGAUAGAGGAGGAGGAAUCGUGUUGGUUAUUUUACUCGUAAAGAUAAACAGGUUGACAAAUAGACAGAGAGAGAGAGAGAGAAAGAGAGGUCUAUACAGCAAAUCUCGCGUCGCGUGUUUGAGAGGAGGAAGAGGCCAUGGUUAUUGAUUGUCUUCUUCUCUUCUCUCUCAAUGAGAUUUUUGGCUUUUGGGUUGGUUCUUUUUCAGUUUUGGUUUUCUAAUUUUAAUUUCUUGAAGGGGGUUUUGACUUUGACCUGCAACAAACCACCAUUUUAGGCAGCUUUCGCUCAUCUCCCUUUCUCCUUUCUUUAGUAAUGUUUCAAGUCCUCUUUCAGAAAUUUCAGAAUUAAUUCUCUCUCAAACUUUUUAAAUUCCCAUAAUCUGCUCUCCUUCUUAAACAAAAAAUUCAAUGCUCUACUUUUUGUUUUUAGUUU